UUAAGUUAUUAAGGGCGCACGGUGGAUGCCUUGGCACUAGAAGCCGAUGAAGGACGUUACUAACGACGAUAUGCUUUGGGGAGCUGUAAGUAAGCUUUGAUCCAGAGAUUUCCGAAUGGGGAAACCCAGCAUGAGUUAUGUCAUGUUAUCGAUAUGUGAAUACAUAGCAUAUCAGAAGGCACACCCGGAGAACUGAAACAUCUUAGUACCCGGAGGAAGAGAAAGAAAAUUCGAUUCCCUUAGUAGCGGCGAGCGAAACGGGAAGAGCCCAAACCAACAAGCUUGCUUGUUGGGGUUGUAGGACACUCUAUACGGAGUUACAAAGGACGACAUUAGACGAAUCAUCUGGAAAGAUGAAUCAAAGAAGGUAAUAAUCCUGUAGUCGAAAAUGUUGUCUCUCUUGAGUGGAUCCUGAGUACGACGGAGCACGUGAAAUUCCGUCGGAAUCUGGGAGGACCAUCUCCUAAGGCUAAAUACUCUCUAGUGACCGAUAGUGAACCAGUACCGUGAGGGAAAGGUGAAAAGCACCCCGGAAGGGGAGUGAAAUAGAACCUGAAACCGUGUGCUUACAAGUAGUCAGAGCCCGUUAAUGGGUGAUGGCGUGCCUUUUGUAGAAUGAACCGGCGAGUUACGAUUUGAUGCAAGGUUAAGCAGUAAAUGUGGAGCCGUAGCGAAAGCGAGUCUGAAUAGGGCGUUUAGUAUUUGGUCGUAGACCCGAAACCAGGUGAUCUACCCUUGGUCAGGUUGAAGUUCAGGUAACACUGAAUGGAGGACCGAACCGACUUACGUUGAAAAGUGAGCGGAUGAACUGAGGGUAGCGGAGAAAUUCCAAUCGAACCUGGAGAUAGCUGGUUCUCUCCGAAAUAGCUUUAGGGCUAGCCUCAAGUGAUGAUUAUUGGAGGUAGAGCACUGUUUGGACGAGGGGCCCCUCUCGGGUUACCGAAUUCAGACAAACUCCGAAUGCCAAUUAAUUUAACUUGGGAGUCAGAACAUGGGUGAUAAGGUCCGUGUUCGAAAGGGAAACAGCCCAGACCACCAGCUAAGGUCCCAAAAUAUAUGUUAAGUGGAAAAGGAUGUGGCGUUGCCCAGACAACUAGGAUGUUGGCUUAGAAGCAGCCAUCAUUUAAAGAGUGCGUAAUAGCUCACUAGUCGAGUGACACUGCGCCGAAAAUGUACCGGGGCUAAACAUAUUACCGAAGCUGUGGAUUGUCCUUUGGACAAUGGUAGGAGAGCGUUCUAAGGGCGUUGAAGCAUGAUCGUAAGGACAUGUGGAGCGCUUAGAAGUGAGAAUGCCGGUGUGAGUAGCGAAAGACGGGUGAGAAUCCCGUCCACCGAUUGACUAAGGUUUCCAGAGGAAGGCUCGUCCGCUCUGGGUUAGUCGGGUCCUAAGCUGAGGCCGACAGGCGUAGGCGAUGGAUAACAGGUUGAUAUUCCUGUACCACCUAUAAUCGUUUUAAUCGAUGGGGGGACGGCAGUAGGAUAGGCGAAGCGUGCGAUUGGAUUGCACGUCUAAGCAGUAAGGCUGAGUAUUAGGCAAAUCCGGUACUCGUUAAGGCUGAGCUGUGAUGGGGAGAAGACAUUGUGUCUUCGAGUCGUUGAUUUCACACUGCCGAGAAAAGCCUCUAGAUAGAAAAUAGGUGCCCGUACCGCAAACCGACACAGGUAGUCAAGAUGAGAAUUCUAAGGUGAGCGAGCGAACUCUCGUUAAGGAACUCGGCAAAAUGACCCCGUAACUUCGGGAGAAGGGGUGCUCUUUAGGGUUAACGCCCAGAAGAGCCGCAGUGAAUAGGCCCAAGCGACUGUUUAUCAAAAACACAGGUCUCUGCUAAACCGUAAGGUGAUGUAUAGGGGCUGACGCCUGCCCGGUGCUGGAAGGUUAAGAGGAGUGGUUAGCUUCUGCGAAGCUACGAAUCGAAGCCCCAGUAAACGGCGGCCGUAACUAUAACGGUCCUAAGGUAGCGAAAUUCCUUGUCGGGUAAGUUCCGACCCGCACGAAAGGCGUAACGAUUUGGGCACUGUCUCAACGAGAGACUCGGUGAAAUCAUAGUACCUGUGAAGAUGCAGGUUACCCGCGACAGGACGGAAAGACCCCGUGGAGCUUUACUGUAGCCUGAUAUUGAAAUUCGGCACAGCUUGUACAGGAUAGGUAGGAGCCUUUGAAACGUGAGCGCUAGCUUACGUGGAGGCGCUGGUGGGAUACUACCCUAGCUGUGUUGGCUUUCUAACCCGCACCACUUAUCGUGGUGGGAGACAGUGUCAAGCGGGCAGUUUGACUGGGGCGGUCGCCU
rnacentral:rRNA from 1 species